rnacentral:lncRNA from 1 species
ACAGUCAGGUAACACAGACUGCCUACCACACAGUCAGUAAAACAGACUGCCUACCACACAGUCAGGUAACACAGACGCCUACACACAGUCAGGUAACACAGACAGCUACCACACAGUCAGGUAACCAGACUGCCAACCACAGUCAGGUAACACAGACUGCCUACAAACAGUCAGGUAACACAGACUGCCUACCACACAGUCAGGUAACACAGACUGCCUACCACACAGUCAGGUAACACAGACCGCCUACCACACAGUCAGGUAACCACAGACUGCCUACCACAACAGUCAGGUAACAGACUGCUACCACACAGUCA